GCGCUCGCUUCGGCAGCACAUGUACUAACACUGGAACAUACAGAGCAGUUAGCAUGGCCCCUGCGCAAGGAUGACAUUCAAUUUAACAAGCAUUCCAUACUUAA